rnacentral:rRNA from 1 species
CCCAGACUCCUACGGGAGGCAGCAGUGGGGGAUAUUGCACAAUGGGGGGAACCCUGAUGCAGCGACGCCGCGUGGGUGAAGGAGCGUUUCGGCGCGUAAAGCCCUAUCGGCAGGGAAGAAGGAGGACGGUACCUGACUAAGAAGCCCCGGCUAACUACGUGCCAGCAGCCGCGGUAAUACGUAGGGGGCAAGCGUUAUCCGGAUUUACUGGGUGUAAAGGGGGCGCAGACGGCAGCGCAAGCCAGGAGUGAAAGCCCGGGGCCCAACCCCGGGACUGCUCUUGGAACUGCGCGGCUGGAGUGCAGGAGGGGCAGGCGGAAUUCCUGGUGUAGCGGUGAAAUGCGUAGAUACCAGGAGGAACACCGGUGGCGAAGGCGGCCUGCUGGACUGCGACUGACGUUGAGGCCCGAAAGCGUGGGGAGCAAACAGGAUUAGAUACCCCCGUAGA